AUCGAGCUGACGAGUCUCACAAAUGACGAAAUGAGCAUCCUUGAU
rnacentral:hammerhead_ribozyme from 1 species